rnacentral:rRNA from 3 species
UGUAGAGGGGGGUAGAAUUCCAGGUGUAGCGGUGAAAUGCGUAGAGAUCUGGAGGAAUACCGGUGGCGAAGGCGGCCCCCUGGACAAAGACUGACGCUCAGGUGCGAAAGCGUGGGGAGCAAACAGGAUUAGAUACCCUGGUAGUCCACGCCGUAAACGAUGUCUACUUGGAGGUUGUGCCCUUGAGGCGUGGCUUCCGGAGCUAACGCGUUAAGUAGACCGCCUGGGGAGUACGGCCGCAAGGUUAAAACUCAAAUGAAUUGACGGGGGCCCGCACAAGCGGUGGAGCAUGUGGUUUAAUUCGAUGCAACGCGAAGAACCUUACCUGGUCUUGACAUCCACAGAACUUUCCAGAGAUGGAUUGGUGCCUUCGGGAACUGUGAGACAGGUGCUGCAUGGCUGUCGUCAGCUCGUGUUGUGAAAUGUUGGGUUAAGUCCCGCAACGAGCGCAACCCUUAUCCUUUGUUGCCAGCGAUUAGG